rnacentral:rRNA from 1 species
UACGAAGGGGGCUAGCGUUGCUCGGAAUCGCUGGGCGUAAAGCGCGCGCAGGCGGUCUUCCAAGUCAGUGGUGAAAGCCCGGAGCUCAACUCCGGAACUGCCAUUGAAACUGUUAGACUUGAGGACGAGAGAGGUGAGUGGAAUUCCCAGUGUAGAGGUGAAAUUCGUAGAUAUUGGGAAGAACACCGGUGGCGAAGGCGGCUCACUGGCUCGUUUCUGACGCUCAGGCGCGACAGCGUGGGGAUCAAACAGG